AUUGCUGUGAUGAGUCGUAAACAUAAGAAAACCAACCGAUCAAUUGGUUCUUCAAUGAAUUAUUCAUUUUACGCUUGGCUUCUGAGCUGU
rfam:Brachypodium distachyon strain Bd21 chromosome 2, whole genome shotgun sequence.